UGGGAUCCUCCCGGACCGGGGCACGAACCCGUGUCCCCUGCAUUGGCAGGCUCAACCACUACGCCACCAGGGAAGCCCUUCAUUUAAAAUUUUUGAAGCAAAAAUAACUUCAGUUGUGCAUUCUUGCCUUAGGAAAGGGAAGGAAAACUGUAAAACAGGUUUGGAGAGAAAAAAUCUCUCUCUGGCCAGAGAAUAGACCUAGCAACAUGGUUAUCUGGUAUCCGGCAUCAACUCGUCACCCUCCCUGAGCUGAUGCCAUCGUAUUCAAGGUUUCAUCUCACCAUCUUCAGCACCAACUCUGCUUCCUGAGUCCCAAGAAGGAAGCCUGGGAGAUGGGAUUGCUAGAAUUCAGUUUCAUCUGCUAGUCUUCUGCCAGUUCUCUGCAGACUGCAAGAAAGAUGAACUUGCUUGUCCCUCUCCUUUGGGUGGGAUCCCAAGCACCACGGCCCCUUGAAGACCUUCAGCUUUAGCAUCAUCAUGCCCAAGGGCUCUUGCACGGCACUUAAGGGACUACAGACCAUGGAGGCUGGAGAGCGCGAGUCCUCCUGAGUCAGAGCAGGGAUAACAAGACGUUGCUGCGGGAAAUGAUUUUGCCCUUGGUCAUGGCCAUUUACCAUGAUUGCAGGUGACUUUCAGAGUGAGUGGAUGUUUGCACACAAGUUGGAACUCGAAGGAACUUCAGGUUCAAUCUCCAUCCUUUAGCUGACCGGACCAUCACCCCCAGCAAGACCUUAGGAGCCAAGGGUUGGCGGGAGAGUCACUGUCAGCCUGGAUCCCUUCAUGACUAUGUGGAAGAGAGACGCCCUACUCACCCCUGUCCCCUACUGCAAGUGUGGUUUAUUGAAACACAGUUUCUGAACAAGUGAUAUGGGAUAAUGAGUCACCACUCACUGUAGAGCCUGGCAGGUGACAGAUGCUCGAGAGAUCUAGACCGAAUACAUAUCUUCGUUCCUUGAGGGUUGUUGUGCUAUCUUAAUGAAAAAUCAUUUUGGAGAGAGAUAUCAACAUGGAAAAGCUAAUUGCUGGAGGACUUCAGAUAUGGCUAAAGAAUAACCUGUGGAAUCAGACACACCUGGAUUUGAAUCUGGGGAAGGGCCCUCCCACCCCAGCAAGGUGACACCAGUGCUGAAACUGAACGGCAAGAAGGAGCCCGCCAGAAAGGAAAGCAUCACCAGGUAAUGGCUCCGCAAGGAGUCACGUCACUGGUUCCAUGUGCUGACAUGCGAUCAAGGCAUGUUCUUGGGGAGGGCAAGGCAUGAAGGUUGAUUACAGUCUUUCGUCUUUGUUCAGCGAGAUCAAAGUUCUGUGACCAUCCUGACACUCUAAGUAGCAUUUCUGCAGCAAGUCUCAAGGUGUCUGAAAACAGCCAAGCGUCACUCAGCUCAACCCACGCGGCCCGCGAGGGGCAGGCGAGCAGUUUUGGACAGGGAGCGGCACCUGGCCCUGCGAAGGGUUAAUAUUCAGCUGGGCCGCCCACCUCCUCCCUCUGGCUCCCCUCCCGGCGCCCAAAAGACCCAGUAACUGCUUUCGCCUUCAGAUCUCAGGUCAGCAGAGUUCCGAGGAAAGCUUUAAGGCUGUUUACUUUGUUUACAUUUGUGCAGAUCCUCAGAAGAACCCCCAUUUCUUUUUAUGUUCAGAAAUCACUUACCGAAGUUCAAGCCAACCGUAACAGUUAUCCUGGCUUCAGAAACUGAGAUGGGAACGACUGUGGUGUAAGUUCAGAGUGGGUAACCUGUAACGUGAAUUUUGUGUUUCUCUCAUCUAACUCUGAUCUGAUUAGCCAUAUACUUUUACACUCAGAACUCUGCUGACCUAGAUCUUGCACAGAUAGGCUUUUCAAGAUAAAUACAGCUCUUGACAAGCAGACUUUCUUAAAAAAUAACAGGCAUGUGUUUUGGGGAGUAAAGACUGAGGAAGGCCACCUGCUCUGACGUCCCUGGACCUGGAGCUCCCUCAGGAGCAGCCAGCACACGGGCGGAGCCGCACUCACCUGCCAGUUGGUGGCCAUAUCCAGAGGAGUGGUUCCUGGCAGGACUCCUUCAUCCUCUCCAUCCUCGUCCCAAGAGUCAUCCAGGUUGUACAGAGGCUCAAAGUUCUCCACCAGGGGAUCUGCUCCUGCGAAGUCAAGUUAACACAGCGUUAGGUAAACCCACAUCUUGUCAACUUCUAACUGCCUGCAGGGGUCAGAGUCUAUAAACAGAUAAAACAUGUUUAUUUAUAAGCAUAUAAAACACAUUUUCUACUGAAAUAUCCAGAAACCUGCUUUUAAACUUAAAAAUUUAAAUUUAAAUAAGUUCUAAUGCAUCUUGACUGUAAAGGUGACUGCAGAUACCCCAUAUGGCCAAGGACACUUUCAAAAACAAAAGACCUGGAACAUGCUGACUCUCACAUUUGACGCUAUAGGACAGUUUUCAAGUGAACGAUGCAUCUUUAACCUGAGGACCGACGGCAGCAGUUUACAGGGACCAGGGUGCACGCUCGGGAUUAAGGUCCUAAAUGUUCAAAUUGAUGCCCAGCGCCGCACGUUUCUCAGCCUCUUCACCUGCUGGCUCAAAAGAGCAAAGCUGCUGCUGUCUAGUGCCAACCUGUUCCGCUUUACUCCUGGGUACGGCACUGAUCCUUAAACGCAAAAUGCCAAGAAAACCUUCUGGUAGGAUGUGGAGUUGUUGAAAAAGUUAGGGCCAAUCUUGGAAAAUCUGGUCUGUUCCUUAGCCAGCAGCGAGAAACACCUGAAGUAACUCAAAAAUUAAGGCUAGAGUUAACUUCUCAAAGGCUUAGAGAGACUAUUUUAUUGCUGCCUGAUGAACAGUAGGAAGUUCAGCACGCUCUCCUUUUGGAAAGAGGACCUUGUUUUAGUCUUGCUGGGAGGACGUUUGACUCUUGACAACUUCAAUAAUAGGGGAUAAUAAAUAAUAAUAGAGAUAAUAAUAAUAAUAAUGAGAGGAUCUGCAUGCCACUUCUUACUCUGUUCUCCCAGCUGCAGCCUGAUCUCUGGGGCAGUAAGUGUCACCCGACCACGGAAACAGUAGAGAAACUAGGAUGAACAAUUUGCAGGACCCAAGAUGGAGAAGCUUAACUAGGAAGAGAGGAUUGAAUUGGAAUAACACCUUCAAAUCCUUGAGCAAAACAGGGGACAGAAACACAGCAGAGAGAAUGGAGUCUGGAAGUUCAGGGUGACGAGGUGUGACUCACAGCUCUGCCCCUUACUGGGGCCCUGGGACCGGGAUGCAGAAGUCUCUCUAGUCUGUUUCCUUGGCUAUAAAAUGGGGCUAAUAAUGGGCUUUGUCUCAAAGGGUUAUUGUGGAUUAAGUAAGACUAAAUGAGACAGUGCGUGUGGAGUGCCUACAGCCCAACAGCCCAACAGCAGCUAGCGAUGUUUAGUGCCUGGUGCGCGACAGUACUCAACACACCGCCCGCUUGUUUCUUCCUAUUACUCUGGCUUCUCAGGGACCUUUCUUGCAAAAGGAAGUCUUUAAAUCAUUUCUUACCCAAUAAACUUUUCCUUCUGAGGACUUGUGACAUGACCUGAGGUGGAUACUGCUCCGAGUUCUACAAGGAAUUCGAUUCAACGUUAAGAGCUCUUGUCAUGGGAGUCAAUGAAGACAGCCCACAUCCAAAACAAACAGGUGAACUGGAGAGUAAAAACUAACGUGACUGUCAGCACGAAGCCCGGGACUACUAGUCCAAACAGUGCCUCUACGGCAGUUGAAUGUGAUUUGCCAGAGAACUUUUAUUUACUUGUGCCUUUCUGCAGCGGGUCUGUGGCUUAAGAAGGUGGCGUGGCUGCUCUACUGAGGCUGGGUUUGCAUUCCUGAUGACAUUUUCCAUCACCGACCGCCAG